GAUGAAGAACGUAGCGAAAUGCGAUAAGUAAUGUGAAUUGCAGAAUUCAGUGAAUCAUCGAAUCUUUGAACGCACAUUGCGCCCGCCAGUAUUCUGGCGGGCAUGCCUGUUCGAGCGUCAUUUCAACCAUCAAGCCCCCCGGCUUGUGUUGGGGACCUGCGGCUGCCGCAGGCCCUGAAAAGCAGUGGCGGGCUCGCUGUCACACCGAGCGUAGUAGAUCUCAUCUCGCUCAGGGCGUGCUGCGGGUUCCGGCCGUUAAAUGAAAAGCCUUCGUAGCCCAAGGUUGACCUCGGAUCAGGUAGGAAGACCCGCUGAACUUAAGCAUAUCAAUAAGCGGAGGA
rnacentral:misc_RNA from 1 species